GAUGAACGCUGGCGGCGUGCCUAAUACAUGCAAGUCGAACGAAACUUCUUUAUCACCGAGUGCUUGCACUCACCGAUAAAGAGUUGAGUGGCGAACGGGUGAGUAACACGUGGGCAACCUGCCCAAAAGAGGGGGAUAACACUUGGAAACAGGUGCUAAUACCGCAUAACCAUAGUUACCGCAUGGUAACUAUGUAAAAGGUGGCUAUACUACCGCUUUUGGAUGGGCCCGCGGCGCAUUAGCUAGUUGGUAGGGUAAAGGCUUACCAAGGCAAUGAUGCGUAGCCGAAUUGAGAGGUUGAUCGGCCACAUUGGGACUGAGACACGGCCCAAACUCCUACGGGCGGCAGCAGUAGGGAAUCUUCCACAAUGGGCGAAAGCCUGAUGGAGCAACGCCGCGUGGGUGAAGAAGGUCUUCGGAUCGUAAAACCCUGUUGUUAGAGAAGAAAGUGCGUGAGAGUAACUGUUCACGUUUCGACGGUAUCUAACCAGAAAGCCACGGCUAACUACGUG
rnacentral:rRNA from 1 species